rnacentral:rRNA from 1 species
GACGAACCGUGCGAACGUUGUUCGGAAUCACUGGGCUUAAAGGGCGCGUAGGCGGGCUUUCAAGUCGGUUGUGAAAUCCCUCAGCUCAACUGAGGAACUGCAUCCGAUACUGUUUGUCUUGAGGACGAGAGGGGAGAGUGGAACUUCUGGUGGAGCGGUGAAAUGCGCAGAUAUCAGGAGGAACACCGGUGGCGAAGGCGGGUCUCUGGGCCGAUACUGACGCUGAGGAGCGAAAGCGUGGGGAGCAAACAGG